rnacentral:tRNA from 1 species
GCCCUCUUAGCUCAGCCGGUAGAGCACCUCCAUGGUAAGGAGGGGGUCGGCGGUUCGAGUCCGCCAGAGGGCU